GAGUUUGAUCAUGGCUCAGAUUGAACGCUGGCGGCAUGCUUUACACAUGCAAGUCGAACGGCAGCACGGGGUUUACCCUGGUGGCGAGUGGCGAACGGGUGAGGAAUACAUCGGAACGUGUCUAUAAGUGGGGGAUAACGCAUCGAAAGGUGUGCUAAUACCGCAUAAUCUCUCAGGAGAAAAGCAGGGGAUCGCAAGACCUUGCGCUUUAGGAGCGGCCGAUGCCUGAUUAGCUUGUUGGUAAGGUAAAAGCUUACCAAGGCUUCGAUCAGUAGCUGGUCUGAGAGGACGACCAGCCACACUGGGACUGAGACACGGCCCAGACUCCUACGGGAGGCAGCAGUGGGGAAUUUUGGACAAUGGGGGAAACCCUGAUCCAGCCAUGCCGCGUGAGUGAGAAGGCCUCGGUUGUAAG
rnacentral:rRNA from 1 species